GACGAACGCUGGCGGCGUGCUUAACACAUGCAAGUCGAACGGAAAGGCCCUGCUUUUGUGGGGUGCUCGAGUGGCGAACGGGUGAGUAACACGUGAGUAACCUGCCCUUGACUUUGGGAUAACUUCAGGAAACUGGGGCUAAUACCGGAUAGGAGCUCCUGCUGCAUGGUGGGGGUUGGAAAGUUUCGGCGGUUGGGGAUGGACUCGCGGCUUAUCAGCUUGUUGGUGGGGUAGUGGCUUACCAAGGCUUUGACGGGUAGCCGGCCUGAGAGGGUGACCGGCCACAUUGGGACUGCGAUACGGCCCAGAAUCCUACGGGAGGCAGCAGUGGGGAAUCUUGCACAAUGGGCGGAAGCCUGAUGCAGCAACGCCGCGUGCGGGAUGACGGCCUUCGGGUUGUAAACCGCUUUCGCCUGUGACGAAGCGUGAGUGACGGUAAUGGGUAAAGAAGCACCGGCUAACUACGUG
rnacentral:rRNA from 1 species